ACUGUUCUUAAAGGAUGCUGUGUCAAGAGUUCAAGACAUGCAGCUCAUUUGGCAAUGGACAGAACCACUCAGACUUCAAAAAGAGUGAAUGCAAUUAACCUCUUGGUCCAGAAGAUUGAAGGACACUGUUUCAAGUGAAGCCUGUGAACAAAGAUUUCCUGUUUUGCAGUUUUCUAGAGACUGGAGCCAUGGCCAAGUGACAAAGCAGAGGGAGCUCCUGGUGUGCAAGGAGAUCUGUGUGUGCUCCCUGGGACCUCAGCUCUGCCGAAGCAGCAGGGGAUUCCCCAGGGCUCAGCCUGUCCUCAGCCUCUUCCCAAGGCACUGCAGUUAACUGAUCAGCCAGAUGGAGAGGUUUCUUAAGCAGAACUGCCAUCUUCACUUCCCUUGGCAAGCAGCAGAGUGCUUAUCUAGGGACCACAACGA